rnacentral:rRNA from 1 species
AUUGAACGCUGGCGGCAUGCCUUACACAUGCAAGUCGAACGGCAGCACGGGUGCUUGCACCUGGUGGCGAGUGGCGAACGGGUGAGUAAUACAUCGGAACAUGUCCUGUAGUGGGGGAUAGCCCGGCGAAAGCCGGAUUAAUACCGCAUACGAUCUACGGAGGAAAGCGGGGGACCUUCGGGCCUCGCGCUAUAGGGUUGGCCGAUGGCUGAUUAGCUAGUUGGUGGGGUAAAGGCCUACCAAGGCGACGAUCAGUAGCUGGUCUGAGAGGACGACCAGCCACACUGGGACUGAGACACGGCCCAGACUCCUACGGGAGGCAGCAGUGGGGAAUUUUGGACAAUGGGCGAAAGCCUGAUCCAGCAAUGCCGCGUGUGUGAAGAAGGCCUUCGGGUUGUAAAGCACUUUUGUCCGGAAAGAAAUCCUUGGCCCUAAUACGGUCGGGGGAUGACGGUACCGGAAGAAUAAGCACCGGCUAACUACGU